rnacentral:misc_RNA from 1 species
GUAUUAUAGAUGAUAAACUUCAAAUGGAAAUACAAAAUCUUUUUCUUGCUAAACUUUUUUCGUUAAAAGAAAAUCAUGAAUUGAAACUUUUUGUGAUUAUUUUUUAUAUUACCUUUUACUACCUCUAUCCAUUUUUGUCUCUCUCAUUUGAGUUUUGCAAGGUAAUUAAUAAAAUAAUUAGAUAACCUCAUUUUUAUAAGAACAAACUAAUAAUUAACUAAAUUAUCCUUCAUCUCACCUAAUUACUUCUUUUAUAA